rnacentral:misc_RNA from 1 species
GAAAUGCGAUAAGUAAUGUGAAUUGCAGAAUUCAGUGAAUCAUCGAAUCUUUGAACGCACAUUGCGCCCGCCAGUAUUCUGCGGGCAUGCCUGUCCGAGCGUCAUUUCAACCAUCAAGCCCCCGGGCUUGUGUUGGGGACCUGCGGCUGCCCACAGGCCCUGAAAACCAGUGGCGGGCUCGCUGUCACACCGAGCGUAGUAGCAAUCACCUCGCUCAGGGCGUGCUGCGGGUUCCGGCCGUUAAACAGCCUUACAAAACCCAAGGUUGACCUCGGAUCAGGUAGGAAGACCCGCUGAACUUAAGC